rnacentral:rRNA from 1 species
GAUGAACGCUGGCGGCGUGCCUAAUACAUGCAAGUCGAGCGAACAGACGAGGAGCUUGCUCCUCUGACGUUAGCGGCGGACGGGUGAGUAACACGUGGAUAACCUACCCAUAAGACUGGGAUAACUUCGGGAAACCGGAGCUAAUACCGGAUAAUAUAUUGAACCGCAUGGUUCAAUAGUGAAAAACGGUUUUGCUGUCACUUAUAGAUGGAUCCGCGCCGCAUUAGCUAGUUGGUAAGGUAACGGCUUACCAAGGCAACGAUGCGUAGCCGACCUGAGAGGGUGAUCGGCCACACUGGAACUGAGACACGGUCCAGACUCCUACGGGAGGCAGCAGUAGGGAAUCUUCCGAAAUGGGCGAAAGCCUGACGGAGCAACGCCGCGUGAGUGAUGAAGGUCUUCGGAUCGUAAAACUCUGUUAUUAGGGAAGAACAAAUGUGUAAGUAACUAUGCACGUCUUGACGGUACCUAAUCAGAAAGCCACGGCUAACUACGUG